rnacentral:rRNA from 1 species
UACAGAGGGGGCAAGCGUUGUCCGGAAUUACUGGGCGUAAAGCGUACGCAGGUGGCGCAGGAAGUGUUGUGUGAAAGCCCCGCGCUUAACGCGGGGAGGCCACGACAGACUCCUGGGCUCGAGGAAUGUAGAGGGUCGUGGAAUUGCCGGUGUAGUGGUGAAAUGCGUAGAGAUCGGCAGGAACACCAAGGACGAAGGUAGCGACCUGGGCAUUUCCUGACACUCAUGUACGACAGCGUGGGGAGCGAAC